rnacentral:rRNA from 1 species
GACGAACGCUGGCGGCGUGCUUAACACAUGCAAGUCGUACGGAAAGGCCCUGCUUUUGUGGGGUGCUCGAGUGGCGAUCGGGUGAGUAACACGUGAGUAUCCUGCCCUUGUCUUUGGGAUAACUUCUGGAAAAUGCGGCUAAUACCGGAUAGGAGCUCCUGCUGCAUGGUGGGGGAUGGAAAGUUGCGGCGGUUGGGGAUGGACUCGCGGGUUAUCCGCUUGUUGGUGGGGUAGUGGAUUACCAAGGCUUUGACGGGUAGCCGGCCUGAGAGGGUGGCCGGCCACAUUGCUACUGCGGUACGGCGCAGACGCCUACGUUAGGCAGUGGUGGGGAACAUGGCGGAACGGGCCCAAGCCAGAUGCAGCAACGCUCGGUGCGGGAUAACGGCCUACUGGUGGUAAACCGCUUUCGCCUUUGCCGAAGCGGGAGUGACGGUAAUGGGUAAAGAAGCACCGGCUAACUACGUG